GACGAACCGUGCGAACGUUGUUCGGAUUCACUGGGCAUAAAGGGCGCGUAGGCGGAUGGUCAAGUCGGGGGUGAAAUCCUUCAGCUUAACUGGAAAAGUGCCUCCGAUACUGAUCGUCUCGAGGGAGGUAGGGGCAUGUGGAACUUCCGGUGGAGCGGUGAAAUGCGUAGAUAUCGGAAGGAACGCCGGUGGCGAAAGCGACGUGCUGGACCUCUUCUGACGCUGAGGCGCGAAAGCUAGGGGAGCAAACGGG
rnacentral:rRNA from 1 species